UACGUAGGGGGCAAGCGUUGUCCGGAUUUAUUGGGCGUAAAGAGCGUGUAGGCGGCCAUGCAGGUCCGUUGUGAAAACUCGAGGCUCAACCUCGAGACGCCGAUGGAAACCGCAUGGCUAGAGUCCGGAAGAGGAGAGCGGAAUUCCUGGUGUAGCGGUGGAAAUGCGCAGAUAUCAGGAGGAACACCGGUGGCGAAGGCGGGUCUCUGGCCGUAACUGACGCUGGAGGAGCGAAAGCGUGGGAGCGAACAGG
rnacentral:rRNA from 1 species